rnacentral:rRNA from 1 species
GAUGAACGCUGGCGGCGUGCCUAAUACAUGCAAGUCGAACGCUGGAACUCUAGCUUGCUAGAUUGAAGGAGUGGCGAACGGGUGAGUAAUACAUAAGCAACCUACCCACGAAGACUGGGAUAAUCUCUGGAAACGGGGACUAAUACCGGAUAGGUAAUCGGAAGGCAUCUUCUGAUUAUUAAAGGUUAAAAACACUGGUGGAUGGGCUUAUGGCGCAUUAGUUAGUUGGUGAGGUAACGGCCCACCAAGACGAUGAUGCGUAGCCGGCCUGAGGGGGUGAACGGCCACAUUGGGACUGAGACACGGCCCAGACUCCUACGGGAGGCAGCAGUAGGGAAUUUUCAGCAAUGGGGGAAACCCUGACCGAGCAACGCCGCGUGAGUGAUGACGGCCUUCGGGUUGUAAAGCUCUGUUGUAAGGGAAGAACGGUAGAUAGAGAAUAUCUAAAUGACGGUACCUUACCAGAAAGCCACGGCUAACUACGUG